GUCUCCGUGGUGUAGUCGGUUAUCACGUCGGUCUCAUAACAUUCGUUGUGACUAGCCUGCAAACAGGCUGGAGAGAUCCGAAGGCCGCGAGUUCGAUUCUCGCCGGGGACA